UAGGGAAUUUUCGGCAAUGGGGGGAACCCUGACCGAGCAAUGCCGCGUGAAUGAAGACGAUCUUCGGAUUGUAAAGUUCUGUUAUUGGGAAAGAAAGAUAUGGCGAGGAAAUGCGUUAUAUUUGACGGUACCUGAUGAGAAAGCCCCGGCUAACUAUGUGCCAGCAGCCGCGGUAAUACAUAGGGGGCAAGCGUUAUCCGGAAUUAUUGGGCGUAAAGAGUGCGUAGGCGGAUGAUUAAGUCUGGUGUAAAAUUUCACAGCUUAACUGUGGAGGGUCAUUGGAAACUGGUCAACUAGAGUACGGUAGAGGUAAGCGGAAUUCCAAGUGGAGCGGUAAAAUGCGUAGAUAUUUGGAGGAACACCAGUGGCGAAGGCGACUUACUGGGCCGGGACUGACGCUGAUGCACGAAAGCGUGGGGAGCAAACAGG
rnacentral:rRNA from 1 species